rnacentral:rRNA from 1 species
UACCAGCACCCCCGAGUGGUCGGGACGUUUUAUUGGGCCUAAAGCAUCCGUAGCCGGUUCUACAAGUCUUCCGUUAAAUCCACCUGCUUAACAGAUGGGCUGCGGAAGAUACUAUAGAGCUAGGAGGCGGGAGAGGCAAGCGGUACUCGAUGGGUAGGGGUAAAAUCCGUUGAUCCAUUGAAGACCACCAGUGGCGAAGGCGGCUUGCCAGAACGCGCUCGACGGUGAGGGAUGAAAGCUGGGGGAGCAAACCGG